rnacentral:rRNA from 1 species
CAUGGCUCAGGACGAACGCUGGCGGCGUGCUUAACACAUGCAAGUCGAACGGAAAGGCCCGCCACCUUGGUGGUGGGUACUCGAGUGGCGAACGGGUGAGUAACACGUGGGUGAUCUGCCCCGCACUGUGGGAUAAGCCUGGGAAACUGGGUCUAAUACCACAUACGACCAUGACAUAGGGGUCAUGGUGGAAAGCUUUAUUGCGGUGUGGGAUGAGCCCGCGGCCUAUCAGCUUGUUGGUGGGGUAAUGGCCUACCAAGGCGGCGACGGGUAGCCGGCCUGAGAGGGUGGACGGCCACAUUGGGACUGAGACACGGCCCAGACUCCUACGG